GACGAACCGUGCGAACGUUGUUCGGAAUCACUGGGCUUAAAGGGCGCGUAGGCGGGCUCGAAAGUCAGGGGUGAAAGCCUCCAGCUUAACUGGAGAAGUGCCUUUGAUACUGCGGGUCUCGAGGGAGGUAGGGGCGUGCGGAACUUCCGGUGGAGCGGUGAAAUGCGUAGAUAUCGGAAGGAACACCGGUGGCGAAAGCGGCGCGCUGGACCUCUUCUGACGCUGAGGCGCGAAAGCCAGGGGAGCAAACGGG
rnacentral:rRNA from 1 species